rnacentral:tRNA from 1 species
GGUGGCUCAAUGGUAGAGUGCUUGCCUUGCAUGCAUGAAGUCCUGGGUUCGAUUCCUCAGCACCA